rnacentral:rRNA from 1 species
CCUACGGGAGGCAGCAGCCGCGGUAAUACGGAGGGUGCAAGCGUUAUCCGGAUUCACUGGGUUUAAAGGGUGCGUAGGUGGGUUGGUAAGUCAGUGGUGAAACCCCCGAGCUUAACUCGGGAACUGCCAUUGAUACUAUCAGUCUUGAAUAUCGUGGAGGUCAGCGGAAUAUGUCAUGUAGCGGUGAAAUGCUUAGAUAUGACAUAGAACACCAAUUGCGAAGGCAGCUGGCUACCCGAAUAUUGACACUGAGGCACGAAAGCGUGGGGAUCAAACAGGAUUAGAUACCCUGGUAGUCCACGCCCUAAACUAUGGAUACUCGACAUAUGCGAUAAACUGUAUGUGUCUGAGCGAAAGCAUUAAGUAUCCCACCUGGGAAGUACGACCGCAAGGUUGAAACUCAAAUGAAUUGACGG